AACUGGAUAGCUCAGUCGGUAGAGCAUGAGGCUGUUCAUCUCAGGGUUGUGGGUUCAAGCCCUGCGUUGAGUGA